rnacentral:rRNA from 1 species
GGGAUAGCGUCUGGAAACGGACGGUAAUACCGCAUAAUGUAUUUUGAUGACAUCAUUAAAAUACCAAAGCUUUUGCGCCGAAGGAUGGCCUCGCGUCUGAUUAGAUAGUUGGUGGGGUAACGGCCUACCAAGUCGACGAUCAGUAGCCGGACUGAGAGGUUGAACGGCCACAUUGGGACUGAGACACGGCCCAGACUCCUACGGGAGGCAGCAGUGGGGAAUAUUGCACAAUGGGCGCAAGCCUGAUGCAGCAACGCCGCGUGAAGGAAGACGGUUUUCGGAUUGUAAACUUCUGUUCUUAGCGAAGAACAAUGACGGUAGCUAAGGAGCAAGCCACGGCUAACUACGUGCCAGCAGCCGCGGUAAUACGUAGGUGGCAAGCGUUGUCCGGAAUUACUGGGUGUAAAGGGAGCGCAGGCGGGAAAGCAAGUCAGCUGUGAAAUCCAUGGGCUUAACCCAUGAACUGCAGUUGAAACUGUUUUUCUUGAGUGAAGUAGAGGUUGGCGGAAUUCCGAGUGUAGCGGUGAAAUGCGUAGAUAUUCGGAGGAACACCGGUGGCGAAGGCGGCCAACUGGGCUUUAACUGACGCUGAGGCUCGAAAGUGUGGGGAGCAAACAGGAUUAGAUACCCUGGUAGUCCACACUGUAA